UGUGGAACGAGCGGCGGACGGGUGAGUAACACGUGGGCAACCUGCCUGUAAGACUGGGAUAACCCCGGGAAACCGGGGCUAAUACCGGAUAACACUUUUUGGUACAUGCCAAGAAGUUGAAAGGCGGCCUUUUUGGCUGUCACUUACAGAUGGGCCCGCGGCGCAUUAGCUAGUUGGUAGGGUAACGGCCUACCAAGGCAACGAUGCGUAGCCGACCUGAGAGGGUGAUCGGCCACACUGGGACUGAGACACGGCCCAGACUCCUACGGGAGGCAGCAGUAGGGAAUCUUCCGCAAUGGACGAAAGUCUGACGGAGCAACGCCGCGUGAGUGAUGAAGGUUUUCGGAUCGUAAAACUCUGUUGUUAGGGAAGAACAAGUGCCGUUCAAAUAGGGCGGCACCUUGACGGUACCUAACCAGAAAGCCCCGGCUAACUACGUGCCAGCAGCCGCGGUAAUACGUAGGGGGCAAGCGUUGUCCGGAAUUAUUGGGCGUAAAGCGCGCGCAGGCGGUCCUUUAAGUCUGAUGUGAAAGCCCACGGCUCAACCGUGGAUGGCCAUUGGAAACUGGAGGACUUGAGUACAGAAGAGGAGAGUGGAAUUCCACGUGUAGCGGUGAAAUGCGUAGAGAUGUGGAGGAACACCAGUGGCGAAGGCGACUCUCUGGUCUGUAACUGACGCUGAGGUGCGAAAGCGUGGGGAGCGAACAGGAUUAGAUACCCUGGUAGUCCACGCCGUAAACGUUGAGUGCUAGUGUUAGGGGGUUUCCGCCCCUUAGUGCUGAAGUUAACGCAUUAAGCACUCCGCCUGGGGGAGUACGGCCGCAAGCUGGAAACUCAAAAGAAUUUGACGGGGGCCCGCACAAGCGGUGGGAGCAUGUGGUUUAAUUCUAAG
rnacentral:rRNA from 1 species